rnacentral:lncRNA from 10 species
CUAGCUUCUUUCUGCCAAGAUGAGCUGCGGUAGUCCUUUUCCUCCCUCCCCUCCUUUCUUUCUUCCCUCGUUUCUUUUCUUUUUCUUCCAUGUCAUUACGGAGAAGGGCACUGGAGGCUUACUGAAGAGCUUUGAGAAAUAGCAUAGAAGGCCCAGAGCAUUACUUGUUUCCAGAUGAUCAAGCUAAGGCUGUACCCUGGCUAUGAAUAGCCCAGCCUCCUGUGGUGUCCAAGCCUGGAGAGAUUCUGUCUCAUUCACUCCUGGUAGACUGGUUAACCCGGCCACAGGCUCCUUUUGCCUUCAG